UCCUGGUUUCCCAGGCAGUCCCAUCAGAGUGCCUUCUUACGAAGUAGCAACUGAUAGCAGGGGUUGCGCUCGUUAUAGGACUUAACCCAACAUCUCACGACACGAGCUGACGACAGCCAUGCAGCACCUGUUCAUAUGUUCAAGGUUACCCCUGAAAGACUCUAUCUCUAGAGCUGUCAUAUGUAUGUCAAACCUAGGUAAGGUUCCUCGCGUAGUGUCGAAUUAAACCACAUGUUCCACCGCUUGUGCGGACCCCCGUCAAUUCCUUUGAGUUUUAAUCUUGCGACCGUAGUCCCCAGGCGGAUCACUUAACGCGUUAGCUGCGACACUAAUUCUGCAGAGCAGAACUAACGUCUAGUGAUCAUCGUUUACAGCGUGGACUAC
rnacentral:misc_RNA from 1 species